rnacentral:rRNA from 1 species
AGGGUUCGAUCUGGCUCAGGAUGAACGCUAGCGGCAGGCUUAACACAUGCAAGUCGAGGGGCAUCGGGUGUAGCAAUACAUGCCGGCGACCGGCGAAAGGGUGAGUAACGCGUGAGCAACGUGCCCGUAUGUGGGGGAUAGUCGAUGGAAACGUCGCGUAAUACCCCGUAACACAUUUUUCUCGCAUGGGGAGAUGUUGAAAGAUUUGAUUGCAUACGGAUCGGCUCGCGUGCCAUUAGGUAGACGGCGGGGUAACGGCCCACCGUGCCGACGAUGGCUAGGGGUUCUGAGAGGAAGGUCCCCCACAUUGGAACUGAGACACGGUCCAGACUCCUACGGGAGGCAGCAGUGAGGAAUAUUGGACAAUGGCCGGAAGGCUGAUCCAGCCAUGCCGCGUGCGGGAAGAAUGCCCUAUGGGUUGUAAACCGUCUUUUGGCGGGGGAGCAAUAAGGGUCACGCGUGGCCCGAUGAGAGUACCCCGCGAAUAAGCAUCGGCUAACUCCGUGCCAGCCGCCGC